UACGGAGGGAGCUAGCGUUGUUCGGAAUCACUGGGCGUAAAGCGCACGUAGGCGGAUUUGUCAGUCAGGGGUGAAAUCCCGGGGCUCAACCUCGGAACUGCCUUUGAUACAGCAAGUCUUGAGUUCGAGAGAGGUGGGUGGAAUUCCUAGUGUAGAGGUGAAAUUCGUAGAUAUUAGGAAGAACACCGGUGGCGAAGGCGGCCCACUGGCUCGAUACCGACGCUGAGGUGCGAAAGCGUGGGGAGCAAACAGG
rnacentral:rRNA from 1 species